rnacentral:rRNA from 1 species
GACGAACGCUGGCGGCGUGCUUAACACAUGCAAGUCGAACGGUGAAGCGCCUUCCUUUUUGGUGGGUGUGGAUGAGUGGCGAACGGGUGAGUAACACGUGAGUAACCUGCCCCCUUCUUCUGGAUAACCGCAUGAAAGUGUGGCUAAUACGGGAUAUUCUGGGUCUGUCGCAUGAUGGGUCUGGGAAAGAUAUUGUUUCGGUGGGGGAUGGGCUCGCGGCCUAUCAGCUUGUUGGUGGGGUGAUGGCCUACGAAGGCGGUGAGGGGUAGCCGGCCUGAGAGGGUGGACGGUCACACUGGGACUGCGACACGGCCCAGACUCCUACGGGAGGCAGCAGUGGGGAAUAUUGCACAAUGGGCGCAAGCCUGAUGCAGCGACGCCGCGUGAGGGAUGGAGGCCUGCGGGUUGUGAACCUCUUUCGCCAGUGAAGCAGGCCUGCCUCGUUUGUGGGUGGGUUGACGGUAGCUGGAUAAGAAGCGCCGGCUAACUACGUG